UUCGAUUUUGGAGCAAGCAAUCCUGUUGGGAGUGUUGUCUCGAAUGUGAGUAAAGGUUGGGCAUGUUUGCUAGUCUACCUUGCCCCGAAGCACAAAGGUUGACACACAGGGACUUUCCAAUUAUCUAGCAAUGGUACUGUUCCUUUACCCUCUCUUCGCUUUUGAGAAAGUAGUCAUGUUGGGGGUCUGGCUCUCGAGAUUCGGAGGACGGUGCCUCUUCGAUUUUGGAGCAAGCAAUCUUGUUGGGAGUGUUUUCUCGAAUGUGAGUAAAGGUUGGGCAUGUUUGCUAGUCUACCUUGCCACGAAGCACAGAGGUUGACACACAGGAACUUUCCAAUUAUCGAGCAAUGAUACUGUUCCUUUACCCUUGUGGGUAAUAAUAUGGUAGCUAGACCUUCAAAAUUUAUGUGUCUAAACUUUGUUAGUUCUGUUUCUUUGCUAUUCUUUUACCUUUCUUGGUCAGAGCGAUGUAGUGGGAGCUGCAAGCUUCACGUGCUCAACUUUGGCAGAGAACUUUGGCAAAGUUAUCUGUGGUACCCAUGAGCUAUUGUUGCGUGUGGGAAGUGGGUGAUUGAACAAUAAGAUUCAUGUGCUUUCUACUUCACCAGAAGUCUUCGACAGAAUGCCCAUAAUUUCUGGAAAGCUGAGUGUGCGUGUGACAGGUGCUGACAAGGCUAGAAUAGUAGGUGCCUCUUCGAUUUCUGAGAUCGGCCCUCGUGGUCUCUGAGCAGCCCAGCUUUCGAGAAAGAGAGCGCCUCUUCGAUUGAUUCGGAGAACGAUGCCUCAUCGAUUUUUGAGAAAGCAAUCAUGCUGAGGGUCUGGCUCUCGAAGAUUCGGGGAGCAGUGUCUCUUCGAUUUUUGAGAAAGUAAUCAUGUUGGGAGUCUGACUCUCGAGAUUCGGAGGGCGGUGCCUCUUCGAUUUUGGAGCAAGCAAUCUUGUUGGGAGUGUUUUCUCGAAUGUGAGUAAAGGUUGGGCAUGUUUGCUAGUCUACCUUGCCACGAAGCACAGAGGUUGACACACAGGGACUUUCCAAUUAUCCAGCAAUGGUACUGUUCCUUUACCCUUUCUUCGAUUUUUAAGAAAGUAGUCAUGUUGGGAGUCUGGCUCUCGAGAUUCGGAGGACGGUGCCUCUUCGAUUUUGGAGCAAGCAAUCUUAUUGGGAGUGUUUUCUCGAAUGUGAGUAAAGGUUGGGCAUGUUUGCUAGUCUACCUUGCCACGAAGCACAGAGGUUGACACACAGGGACUUUCCAAUUAUCCAGCAGUGGUACUGUUCCUUUACCCUUGUGGGUAAUAAUAUGGUAGCUAGACCUUCAAAAAUUUUAUGGGUCUAAACUUUGUU
rnacentral:lncRNA from 1 species